GUACUUGCUUUGGCAGCACACAUAUCUAAACUGGAAUGUUACAGAAAAGAUUAGCAUGAUGCACAAAUUCAUGAAGUGUUCCAUAUUUUU
rnacentral:snRNA from 1 species